GAUGAACGCUGGCGGCGUGCCUAAUACAUGCAAGUCGAGCGAACAGACGAGGAGCUUGUUCCUCUGACGUUAGCGGCGGACGGGUGAGUAACACGUGGAUAACCUACCUAUAAGACUGGGAUAACUUCGGGAAACCGGAGCUAAUACCGGAUAACAUGUUGAACCGCAUGGUUCAACAGUGAAAGACGGUCUUGCUGUCACUUAUAGAUGGAUCCGCGCCGCAUUAGCUAGUUGGUAAGGUAACGGCUUACCAAGGCAACGAUGCGUAGCUGACCUGAGAGGGUGAUCGGCCACACUGGAACUGAGACACGGUCCAGACUCCUACGGGAGGCAGCAGUAGGGAAUCUUCCGCAAUGGGCGAAAGCCUGACGGAGCAACGCCGCGUGAGUGAAGAAGGUCUUCGGAUCGUAAAACUCUGUUAUUAGGGAAGAACAAAUGUGUAAGUAACUAUGCACGUCUUGACGGUACCUAAUCAGAAAGCCACGGCUAACUACGUG
rnacentral:rRNA from 1 species